AGUGAACGCUGGCGGUAUGCCUAACACAUGCAAGUCGAACGGCAGCACCGUAAGAGCUUGCUCUUACGUGCGUCGAGCGUUGGACGGGUGACGUAUACAUCGAAUUCUACUUUUUCGUGGGUGCUAAUGUCGGGAAACUUACUCUAAUACCGCAUACGACCUACGGGUGAAAGCAGGCGAUCUUCUGACCUUUCGCUAUUGUAUGAGCCGAUGUCGGAUUAGCUAGUUGGCGGGGGAAAGGCCUACCAAGGCGACGAUCCGUAGCUGGUAUGAGAGGAAGAUCAGACACACGGGAAGAGAGGAAGGGUCGAGACUCCGGCAGGGAGAAGCAGUGCGGAAUAUUGGACAAGGGGGGAAAGGCUGAUCCAGCCAUACCGCGUGGGUGAAGAAGGCGCUAGGGUGGUUAAGCGAUGAAGUUGGGAAAGAAAAGCAGCACGUUAAUCCCGCGCUGUUCUGACGGUACCGAAAGAAUAAGCACCGGCUAACUUCGUG
rnacentral:rRNA from 1 species